GCUGUGGAGCUUGAAGCAAAUUGACCGUGUGCAUGUAAGGUGCAUUUUCCUGUCCAAACAAGAUCCACUGCUUUCAGCUAACUGUAACCCCAGAGGAGUGUUCCUAUCUGGGUGGAAAAUUUCAGUUGGAAACAGAGGUUCCUGAUGCCUACAACAUGGGGCCUCCCAAAGUGAAAUGCCUGCAGGGUCUGGCACCCCAACAUCCCAGAGACAGGUGACACAUGUCUAAGUUUACUGAGAGAACAUUCCAUGGCUGGGCUCCCAUAGGGACAUUAUAGGAUGUUGUUUGGGGAUUAAGCUCUUUGUUUACUGAUCUUUUGAAUUUUGAUGAUCUGCUGAAUACUGAAUAUUGAAGCUGUGGAACAUCACCAGAGGGACAAGGAGGACUUCGGGAAUAAAGUGGAAGACUACAUUAGGUGUUAUGCCAGAUUACAGGAGGAGGAGACAGUGGGGCUGUGGACUGUAUGUUGUAGGCUUGUCUCCAACCUCAACCAAGAGGGAGCCUUGAGCUCCCCUCAGACCCAGAGGGUCAUCCACAUCCUGUGACUAUCUGUCCUGAAGAAGAACCUCUUCACGACUGCCCAAUGUAGAUGGAGAGUUCCACACAAAUACAGCAAGAAAAUGUGUUUGGAGUUCUGAAGAGUUGUCUGCUUACCUUAACAGGUUUACUUUUUGGAAACUGUACUGUAUAGGCUAUUGAUGAGAUUCCUGAGAAGUUGUAAUGAACUCAGAAUUGAGGCUAAUGCUGGUUUCUUCCCCUUUUCCCAAACAAAAUCCCUCCCUGCACAAGUGAUGAUGAUGUGCUCAGUGUAGCUCAUGCAUGCGGGAUGGGCCAUAAGAAACCCGCUGCAUACUGUGAUUGGAUGCACAUUCUCUUAGCUCCUCCCAUGGAUGCUGUCCCUGUCUAGAUGUCCUGAAGCUUCCCAGACUCAUAGUCAUUCACUGUAGAUGUCUUACUGAAAUGCAUAUUUUAUUUAAUGUAAGUAUAUUUUGGAACAGAUUUGUAAUUUGUACAAUUUAAUGCUUUAAUUAUUUUU
rnacentral:lncRNA from 1 species